rnacentral:rRNA from 1 species
UACGUAGGAGGCAAGCGUUGUCCGGAAUUACUGGGCGUAAAGCGCGUGUAGGCGGUCUGAAUAGUCUGCUGUGAAAGCGCCUGGCUUAACCGGGCGAGGUCGGUGGAAACUCUCAGACUGGAGGCCGGUAGAGGGGGGUGGAAUUCCCGGUGUAGUGGUGAAAUGCGUAGAGAUCGGGAGGAACACCUGUGGCGAAGGCGGCCCCCUGGGCCGCGCCUGACGCUGAGACGCGAAGGCUAGGGGAGCGAACGGG